rnacentral:misc_RNA from 1 species
GCUACUGCAACUAGAGGGGGUAGGGAUGAUGCUCUUAGGAGCUUUGAGUUACUAACUAUUGGCACCGGAAGAAGGAAAUGAGGCUAUAUAAUGUCUAAUAUCUACCCCCAAGUUGAACAGCAAGUUGAGCAGCUAUCUUCAAGGACUUAUCAACAAGCAUGCACUGAUUCUUGCAAUUUAACAAACUUGCUAAACUUUCAAGAGAUAGAGGGGUGUUUCUGUUUUGUAUAUUUGAGAAUACCUCUCUAAUGUGAUGUUGUAGACCGGGAUCUCUCUCGAAAAAUAAAAAAUAUUUCACAUCUGGCCAUUGCUCCCCUGAUGUGCAUGGCUGCUAUGCUUGCGAACGGGGAGGAUGUUAAUGGCGAAAGUAAAUAGCUCAUGGUUAUGCAGUGUAGCUCCGAUUACUUAAGGGGCUACCUCAGUACUUCCUCUUAGUUGUGUGGUUCUUGUGCCCAGAAUUGUUAUCAUAUACUUUUAUGUUAU